rnacentral:rRNA from 1 species
AGUGAACGCUGGCGGUGUGCCUAACACAUGCAAGUCGAACGGCAGCACAGUAAGAGCUUGCCCUUAAGGGUGGCGAGAGGCGGAUGGGUGAUGAAUGGAUCAGAAUCUACUUUUUCGUGGGGGAUUACGAAGGAACAAGUACGCUAAUAACGCAUACGAUGAACGGCAUUAAGAAGAGGAUCUUUGGACUUUGUGCGAUUGUAAGAGCAGAUGUCGCGCUGGCUAGGUGGAGAGGUAAAGGGCCACCAAGGCGAGGCUACGUAGCUGGGCCGAGAGGAUGGUCAGCCACACUAGAACUGAGACAGUGUCAAGACUCCUACGGGGGGCAGCAGUCGCGAAUAUUGGACAAUGGGCGCAAGCCUGACCCAGCAAUGCCGCGUGGGUGAAGAAGACCUUCGGAUUGUAAAACCCUUUUGUUGGGAAAGAAAAGCAGCAGCUUAAGACCCCGCCGUACUGACGGUACCCAAAGAAUAAGCACCGGCUAACUACGUG